GUGCCAGCAGCCGCGGUAAUACGGAGGGUGCGAGCGUUAAUCGGAAUUACUGGGCGUAAAGCGCAUGCAGGUGGUUUGGUUUAAGUUCAGAUGUGAAAGACCCGGGGCGUCAACCUCGGAAUAGCAUUUGAAACUAGGCAGACUAGAGUACUGUAGAGGGGGGGUAGGAAGUUUCAGGUGUAGCGGUGAAAUGCGUAGAGAUCUGAAGGAAUACCGGUGGCGAAGGCGGCCCCCCUCGGACAGAUACUGACACUCAGAUGCGAAAGCGUGGGGAGCAAACAGGAUUAGAUACCCCUGGUAG
rnacentral:rRNA from 1 species